CACUGCAGUCUUCCUGUGAGUCCUCGCCUGAUACUGCCUGUUUCAGGUGCAACAGGACAAGUCCCAGUUAGAGGCUGGAUGGUCAGCUCUGAGGCCGUGUAAUCUCUGAGGCCAUCACACCAACAUCUGCAACGGGACUUGCUGCUGUGUUUGCAAUCUACUACAUAUUCAUCCUUCAGUAUCAAGACGAGGCCGCCUGCUCUCUGGAACUCAUUCACAGGCGCUUCACUGGUAUAAAUCCAGAGAGAGGGACAAAGGCCAAAAGGGGCAAGGUUGUCUCCAAGAAGAAAGGUGUGCUCGUCCAGAAGAAGUCUUCUGCAGUCACUACACACGUCGCCAGGCUACUGAAGAAUCUCCUUGACUUUGAAUGGAACUUCAUACAGAU